rnacentral:tRNA from 1 species
UCCCCAGUGGUCCAGUGGGUAAGACUCUGCACUCCUAAUGCAGGGGGCCUGGGUUCGAUCCCUGGUUGGGGAA